AUUGAACGCUGGCGGAAUGCUUUACACAUGCAAGUCGAACGGCAGCACGGACUUCGGUCUGGUGGCGAGUGGCGAACGGGUGAGUAAUGUAUCGGAACGUGCCCAGUCGUGGGGGAUAACGUAGUGAAAAUUACGCUAAUACCGCAUACGAUCUAUGGAUGAAAGCGGGGGAUCGCAAGACCUCGCGCGAUUGGAGCGGCCGAUAUCAGAUUAGGUAGUUGGUGGGGUAAAGGCCCACCAAGCCAACGAUCUGUAGCUGGUCUGAGAGGACGACCAGCCAAACCGGAACUGAGACACGGUCCAGACUCCUACGGGAGGCAGCGGUGGGGAAUUUUGGACAAUGGGCGAAAGCCUGAUCCAGCCAUUCCGCGUGCAGGAUGAAGGCCCUCGGGUUGUAAACUGCUUUUGUACAGAACGAAAAGGUUUCUACUAAUACUAGGAGCUCAUGACGGUACUGUAAGAAUAAGCACCGGCUAACUACGUGCCAGCAGCCGCAGUAA
rnacentral:rRNA from 1 species